AUUGUUUAGAGCUUGAAGAUCUAUGCUGCAAGGAGUUGAAAAGAGUGUUUCUCUUAAUGAUUUGAAGGCAACUGCAGCAAGCUAUAGAUUUUAUGUAAGUGAUUUUCUUCCAGUUUGCUCAUGCUAUGUGCUUACAGAAAAUUUCUCAUGUUCUGAUUGAAAUUGUCUCCAAUUAAAUCUACUUUUCUUUUUCCACUUUCCUUUAUCCUUUCUAUUGUUCCAUUACAGCCUCUAAGCUCUGCAAUAUAUGCAGAAUUUUAUUUGCGUAUGGAGUUUUGGUAAAGUAAUGAGAGUUUAUGGAUUUUCUCCUAACACUUUUUAUACAAUCAUGAAGAAAAUUUGGCAGUGUGACAGACGGAGGCAUGUUAUUACAAAUUGGGAAAAGGGUAGGCUUUUGGGAUGCGGGUCAUAUGCGUCGGUGUAUGAAGGAUAUGCAGCUGGGGGUUUCUUUUUUGCUGUCAAGGAAGUUCAAUUGCUUGAUCAAGGAAAUCAGACAAAGAAGUGCAUUUAUCAGAUUGAGCAAGAGAUUGCCUUAUUAAGCCAGUUCAAUCAUCCAAACAUAGUUCAAUACUAUGGCACAGACAAGGAUGAAACAAAGCUC
rnacentral:misc_RNA from 1 species